AUGAUUUUGCAAAUAUCUUCCUUGAUAACACAUCUCAAGUCCCUGUAAAGCGCAAAGUGAUUCACCAGCUUCCCGACGGUGUUCAGUGUCCUGCUAUUACAGAUUCCAUUUGAUUCUACCGUUUUAAUCCAGAGAAGCGCAGAUCUGAUGCAUUCAAAUAUGAAUGAAGAUAAAAUAAUCCAGCCUUCCAUCUGAUGAAGAUUACCAAGAUUAUCCAGAUGAUGAUUGGCACGUAUCGGAUCUGAGAAAGGAACCAGAUCUUGGAAAUUCCAGUAAUUGGACUGAACUGCCAAAGUUGACAGAAACAAGCUGCCACCAUUGACUGGGACAAGACAACCAAUUUUCACUGGGACCCAAUUGAGGGUGACGAUGGUGACCGGAUGGCCGACUUCUAUUAGGACCGGACCAACGACGACGAUAAGGAUUGGUAGAAGUCAGUUGUCCAGUCCCCAUAGUCUCCAUCGGUCUGGUUCUAGUGGAAGUAGGACAUUUAUUUCCAAGGGAAAUCGGGCAUCCCAUCUCAUUCGUCACUAGUGCUACAAUCCUAAUCGGCUUUGAUUGUCUGAUUCCGGUGGAAGUUGGCCAUUCGGAUCAUUGAC